ACUGACACUUAUUCGUACCUUGGUAAUUUGUGGAGUUAUUUCUCAAGUUCGUAUUUAUUUAAAGAAACUUGACACCCGCAGCAAGUUGUUUCUGCCUCGGCUCCUAAGCAAGCAUUCGAUUACGUGGAAAUUUCUUAAAGAAAUAUGAUCACUCCUCAAGACGCCAAUGAAGACUAAUGUUUCACGUUGUUUCUUCACGAACUUCGUGGAAGAACUCUGCUAACAGAUCCAGGGCUUCUCGAAGCCUGUGGUGGUAGACCCUUGGUCUCUCGGCGCCUCCUGCGUCGGCUUGAGCAGAUACCUCUUUCAGCACCGCGCUCCAACAGCCACCAAGCGCGCGGGUGAACGCACGUGGCAGCAACCACGUAUUGAGCGAUGAUAGGUGUUGAUCUAGAAACUCCAGUAGAGGAGUAAUGGCCUGAAAAAAUUAAGAACCUGAAAUUUUUCCUCUAUGUAAAAAAGUAAAUUAAUUGUAUAACAUCGCAAUAAAAAUAUGUUUCUUGUCGUCCCAUUGUAAACCUAUUUUCCAGUAAAUCAUAAAACGAAGAUUAACUUAUUACCUGGGGAGUAGGCAGCGUGUCCGGAGACCAAGCUAGGUGGAAGACGGCUUUUCUAAGCGGUGGUCGGGCGCGCGCUGCGAGUGGCGCCGCCGCGCGGGUCGCCCGCGCGUCCAGCGUGCCCAGCGCGCCGCGGACCAGUUGCCGGGCAUUGUCGUCGUUUGCACUGUUCCGCAUUAAGUACAUAAUUAAGAUAUGAAUGUUUGGUGUAAAUUAUCCACAGUUCUAGUCU